rnacentral:rRNA from 1 species
GACGAACGCUGGCGGCGUGCUUAACACAUGCAAGUCGAACGGAAAGGCCCUGCUUUUGUGGGGUGCCCGAGUGGCGAACGGGUGAGUAACACGUGAGUAACCUGCCCUUGACUUUGGGAUAACUUCAGGAAACUGGGGUUAAUACCGUAUAGGAUCUCCUGCUGCAUGGUGGGGGUUGGAAAGUUUCGGCGGUCGGGGAUGGACGCGCGGCUGAUCAGCUUGUUGGUGGGGUAGUGGUUUACCAAGGCUUUGACGGGUAGCCGGCCUGGGAGGGUGACCGGCCACAUUGGGACUACGAUACGCCCCAGACUCCUACAGGAGGCAGCAGUGGGGAAUAUUGCACAGUGGGCGCGAGCCUGAUGCAGCGACGCCGCGGGCGGGAUGACGGCCUUCGGGUUGUGAACCGCUUUCGCCUGUGACGAAGCGUGAGUGACGGUAAUGGGUAAAGAAGCACCGGCUAACUACGUG